UACACUGCUUUUAAAUUGUCUUAAGUGUUCAUUAACCAUUACUUUAUACAUAAUUUAAAAGCAGUGUAAACGAGUAUUUGUCCAUUAACCAGGACAACCUUGUUUUUCCCCCUUUUUUGCCCCUAAUUCCUAAACGGUUUGAGCCAUAACCCCCCAAAGCAAAUCCUAACCAUCCCUUUGUGGUAUGGAAACUUGUAGUAUAAUUUCAGAGAGAUCCAUACACCGUUCCACAGUUAUUGUCUGGAAACUAGAAAAUGCUCAUUUUUGGCCCCUUUUUGGCCCCUAAUUCCUUAACUGUUGGUACCAUAACCCCCAAAAUCAAUCCCAACCUUCUUUUUGUGGUAUUUAACCUUAUGGUCAAAUUUCAAAAAGAUCCAUUCACUUAAACUAAAGUUAGAGUGCGAAAACCAAUAUGUAUUCGGACGACGACGACGCCAACGUCAUACCAAUAUACGACCACAAAAUUUUUUUGCGGUCGUAUAAAAACUGCAAAAUUUCCUUAAAAUUACCAAUUCAGGGGCAGCAACCCAACAACAGGUUGUCAGAUUUGUCUAAAAAUUUCAGGGCAGAUAGAUCUUGACCUGAUAAUCAGUUUUA